GGUCGGCUCUGCAGGGACAAGAGUUGUAUGUAUCUGAAACCUAGGCAUGAUCUCUCCUUUGACCUGCAUGACCGUAGUGAGGGGCUGUGUGACUGGGGAGAAAGUGAAAUCAGGGAAGGCGGCCUGGUACAGUUAUCUGCGUCCCUAUCGAUCUGCAGGUUUGGAUCGCUGCCUGGCCUCAUCAGCGAGUGACAUCAGCCCGGCCGGGCAUCUCGUCUCCACCUGUGAACCCGGAAAGCACUUCCGAGGGCAAUGAGUGCCAGCUCGCAAAGCCUCCGCACCCGCCUUCCCCACCCCCGAUAAACCGUAUACUUGCAAAGAUGCAGAAGCCUUGCUCCUUCGAAGGAUGUGUCUUGAUAGCUUUUCCAUGUAAUGCAAAGAAAAUAAAGGAGACAAUGAAAAGCCUCCCGUAUACGUAUUUCCCCCAUGGAACAUUUUGGUGCUAAUCUGACAGCAGGGGAGUGUACUGAUCCUCCCUUAGAGAAGUUUCCAGCUCUAAUGACAUGGAACAUACAUGCUUGCAUGAGCACAUUUUGUCUGCAUUUACACCAAGCUCUGAACAGGAUGGAGAGCAGAAAUCCUCACUGGAAGAGGCGAGUGCCUCUGAAAUUCACCCACCUCUGGCCCGUCUUUGAGUCCUUCGGAUUGACUCCUAUUUGAAAAAGGGAAAUGUAAUUUUCAAUCCAGAUCAAAGGUAGUAAAUAAGUAUUAGACGUUUUGGUCAAAUCCUAAGUAAUUUUGUGAAAUUGCACCCACUUUAAAAUAUUGAGUAAUGGUUUUCAAGCCUGAAGAGAGUCCAUUUUUAGACUUAAAAAAAACUUUGGUCAAAGCCUUAGGGAAAAAAAGCGUUAAGUUUCCAUAUUUUCAAAGUGGGUCAGCCAUGGUUUUCGCGUUUGUUUGUUUGUUGCUGCUGAAAUUCACAAGGCUUCUGGGAUCAGCCAUGUUGAAUAAAUAAAGAUGAGGCAAACGAAAUGUGAUCUGAGAUCUUGUCCGAACGAUCUGACGUUCUUCCAGAAGAAGAGCCUCUAUCACCCUGAAGUCGCUUCUACCCCUUUAAAGUCCAGCUCAAAUUUUACCUACCUGGAAAUCAGUUCUAAAUACAUAUCCUGGACCCUUGAAGUGAAAUAUCCACCUUGUCCACCGUUAUCUCCUACGUUCUCAGACAGGAUUAUAUUUGUUUGUCCUUAAUCGUCCUUGGGGUUGGAUGACUCUCGGCAAUGUUUUUUUCUCAAACGUAUACGUCACCCACUGUUUCUAGAAUGUGAUCUCAGAGAGCAGCCUGGGUCUCCCCGGGGCAUCCAGAACAGGACUCUAUCCCCAGCUGCCCCACACGGUUCUUGUCCACCUCUCUCGCUGCGUGUUUGUGCUAGUCACGGAAAUACGUGUACUGUUUGAUCGGCUGUGGUAGAAACGCGACUAAACAUGGCGUGAAAAUUUUAUGCUCGGAGAAAAAUAUUAGUCUUACUGAACAUUCCUCUUCCGGAACCAAUUAAUAAAUGCAGCCGUAUCAGUGA